rnacentral:tRNA from 1 species
GCAUUGGAAAUUCAGUGGUAGAAUUCUCGCCUUCCAUGCGGGAGACCUGGGUUUAAUCAUGCCAAUGCA